GUGGGGAAUCUUGCGCAAUGGGCGAAAGCCUGACGCAGCCAUGCCGCGUGAAUGAUGAAGGUCUUAGGAUUGUAAAAUUCUUUCACCGGGGACGAUAAUGACGGUACCCGGAGAAGAAGCCCCGGCUAACUUCGUGCCAGCAGCCGCGGUAAUACGAAGGGGGCUAGCGUUGCUCGGAUUUACUGGGCGUAAAGGGCGCGUAGGCGGACAUUUAAGUCAGGGGUGCAAGCCCGGGGCUCAACCUCGGAACUGCCUUUGAUACUGGGUGUCUUGAGUAUGAGAGAGGUGUGUGGAACUCCGAGUGUAGAGGUGAAAUUCGUAGAUAUUCGGAAGAACACCAGUGGCGAAGGCGACACACUGGCUCAUUACUGACGCUGAGGCGCGAAAGCGUGGGGAGCAAACAGGAUUAGAAACCCUGGUAGUCC
rnacentral:rRNA from 1 species